CUUUGAGAGCAGAAGCAAGAAAUACACAGCUAGAAGCCUGCAGAAAAUGCUAGCUUCCAUACAGAUUGUAGGAACUUGUUAGGUCAGCCAUUUCAACAAGCUGAAGCACAGGCUGUGUGCUUCAAGGGAUGCAAAAAUCUGUUACUCAAAGCUGAACUCGGGCAGACUUCUCCCUGGUGGGUCAGAGUUCUCCAGACCUGCAAGACAAUCCAUCACUGCGCUGCAAGGGCAUGCUCAUGAGCAGGAAGCAGAUCAAAGAGAAGAAAGGGAAUAUUUCCUGAAUGGUCCAAGUGCAAAGCAGCAUGAUGUAAUUUAUAACAUCAUAGCAAUUUUUAAACAUUCCACUUACCCUGAAGCUCAGCAGGAACUGGCAGUUGAGCCCCAGUUCUUGGAACUGUUUUCCUGCUGACUCCUGGGCCCCCACUAGCCACUACCACCUUACCAGUGUCAUUGCCACUCAUGCAGAGGGCUGCUGUGUCCUGCCAGCUCCCUGAGAAGCUACAAUCAACAUCUCUUAAGUGGGUCCCAGGAGGCUGAACUCAACCAUGAGACUCCAGUUUCAGAGCCAAGACAUUACCUGCUGCAGAAGCUUAUCUGGAAAUGGCUAACAGAAGUCCAUUGGUCCAACAGUUUUGAUGCAGACUGGGAAGCGUGCUAAUUGCAGGGCUGCCGAACCAAACUGUUUUCCCUCAAGAACCAGCUUGUUUCAGAAGGGAUGGGAGAGCUGAAUCGCCCAGGGUUACAGCUCCAGGGUACGUUCCUGACCAAUUUCCAACA